UUUUGAGUUAAUUGACGCUGCUGGAUUUAGGUAUCAGGACCAUUUACCUACCUGGCUGAUGGACCUUGGAGAAACAGAGAAGAGUACCUGAAAAAAGGUGUCAUCACUGAGGGCUGUGCACAUUGCAGAGGAGGGAAAUACUGUGUGGAUUGCUUUGGGAUACUGAAGAGGAACCAGGCAAAGAGAGCUCAAAACUGUAGCAGCAGUGUCAACAUGUGCUGAGCAAGGCAGGCUGGAUGAGCCAGAGGAAAAGCUCAAGGGUUAUUCUUCACCUCACUGUGUCUGUAUUUUGGAGAGGCUGUUGACAAACUACAGACCUGAUGUAGGAGGUGCAGGAUUGUUCUUCUCAUCUUCAGCCUCUUGGACUGCAGUGUUUGAGUACAGAGAUUUCCCAGGAAGGAAAGCCUGCAGUGUCACAAAUACUCAACAAGGGCACACAAUUAAGAGUCUUUGCUGUUAGUUAGACUUGCCAUUGAAAUGAGGGCUAGUAUUCUUAACACUGAGCAAAAUUCUGCUUUUAUGGACACUUUUGCCUGUUUUGCUGAUACUAAAUGGAUAUUUGGAUAUGUCAAGUGAUGAGAUAAACACAGGAGAGUUUGCUACUGCUGCUUUUUAUUGUUUCAUAAUGGAUGUUCCUCACUCUUAAAAAGGCACUGCGCAGCAAAAAUUUAUUUACUUGCCACAUUGUGUGCUUUAAACUGGCUUAGAAACAACUUCAGAAACUGGAUACAAACCAGAAUAUGUUUUUUUUAAAAUGUCUUAUUCUUUCUCCCUUCUUCUCAUUAGA